AAACAUAUCAGAAAUUGUGGUGGUAGACAACAAAGACUCUGUCGACAACUGCGUUGAGCCUCACUGUUGGAACCUUCUCCUUGAAAUUUUGAUCUUUCACCAUAUCUGAUGGAGGAUAGAGGUAAUUGAGCUAGAGAAAAGGUUUGAUUUUCAAAAUGUUUGAAGGAAGCAUUGAGCUAAGGUGUAAUGGCAGAGAACCCUUGGCAGAGAUGAGGGGUAUAAUUGUAAUUUAUUUCCUUUUUUUUCUUUAAGUUAAUGACUCUUGUCAUGUUAUCUUUUCUUUGUUUCCUGCCGGUGUACCGAUACCUGCAUUGGGCCCCAUGAAUCCGAAUUCGUAAGGUAAGGCCCAUUUAAGGGGAAGUGCCUUCUAACAUGAUUUUUUUCAUACCCUUGUCUCGAACCCAAGACCUUGUUUAAGGGUGGAGGGAUCCUAUCCAUUCCAGCACAAUACUUGUUGGUAUGUGUCAUGUUAUCAUUCAUGUGUGACAUAUACUUUUGGAGAAAAGUUGGUUGCACACCUAAAAGGUGUGUAUUAGUCUAUUAACACUGUUAGAAAAAAAAUUGGUGCUUAGAGUGGUUUUCGUGACUGAAGGUGUGUAAAAGGAAUUUAGCUACAAGCUCAGUGGUAAACAUCUAGUCUAUAACAGAUUUUUGUUUUUCAUCCCUCUUUUCCAUUUUUUUUUUUUAAUCUCUCCGAAAAUCAGAGAUUUUAUUUUUCCUACUCCUGUCAAAUGAUGAAUGAUGGGAUUUAUUUGAGAAUUGGUAUUCUAUAAAAUGUUCAGCCACCUUGAAUGUUGGAAAUAUUUUUCUCCAAAUGAGUGAAAAUGACUUGCCUCAAAUAUAAGGUCCUGUAUGGUUCAGGAUUUUGUAAAUCAGAAAUAUCAGUAUUGUGCAUAACUUUGGUCUAUCUUCUGCAUAUUCUUGACCAUACAUCUCAAGAUUUCCCUUUCAAACUGCAGGUCAUUUAUGGGUCUACCAAUUUCACAAUCAUGUUUUCAUUCCACAACUUCCAUGCCUGAAGACAUAGUGGUCACCACAAAGAUAGGAUGAGACAGGGAGAAAAAGAUUCUUGAUGCCAAUAUAUAUCCAUCAAAAAUAAUGGAGUACUGGUUUACAAAGCUAAAUAUUAGUGGGAGCAUGCUAGCACAUGACAAUUCAAUAAUUGUGUGGGGAUAUUCCUCUUUACCUAGCAAUUUGCUUUUACCCCUCCAAACAAUACAGUCCACAUUUAUAAAGCUUGUUCACCUCAUGUUUUAUCAACUUUAGCCUAUGACAUUGCACUAGCCCCCACUCCCCCCCCNNN
rnacentral:lncRNA from 1 species